CUUAAAAAAAAAAAAAAAGGCCAUUUUAAGUUCAGUGUGUUUAGACUCUCGGACUGCUCGAGGUGAGAUUUGUAAAGAAAGAAUGGGGAAACAUCAAUAAAGAGUUUGGUUUUUAUCCUGAAAGUGAUGGAAAGACUGAAGGACUUUUUAAGCAGGGAAAUGAGUAAAUCAGACACUUCUUAAUAACAUCUAAUUCCUAAUUAUAUGCUCGUUCAACCAUUUGAUCUUUAAUUUGGCUUCCUAUGUAGAUUCACCCACUAGGAAGAAGUUCUCUUAGUAAACAUAAACAAGGUAGGUUACCCUGCCAGGUAAAUGUUCUACUAAAAAAUAAUGAAUUGCCAAACUCUUCUGAAUUGGUUUGAGAUAGUGUCCAAAAUCUAAUAUAUUUUAAAUAUAGUGAACAAGCCCAGUUUUGGGAUGCUCCAGCCUGAGUUGCAGAUCUGAGACAAUAUUAUUGAGAUCAACGAAUUGUUUCUACUUCUCGAAGUCCUGCCUGAAAAGCUAGUGGGACUUCUAAAGACUUUCUCGAUCAUAACCUAAAGAUUACAUACCCAACAGCCUCUCAGGUCUAUUGAGAAUUCAGUAGUCAUGAUGAAAAUAAUUUCGUAAAAGAUGAUAAUGAUAAUUUAAAAAUCCUUAAUGCAACGUCCAGAAAUGAAGAUGAAGCUCUUCCAAGUAUAUUCGUGAUCAACCAACAUAAAAUUUGCCUCAACCUUUGGGAUAUUACUCCUGCGACAAGAACCAUAAAGAGUGGCUGUGCCAUCAUGCCUCUGUUUUCAAAAGGAGUGGACCAGACAGUGUGGGUGGAGAAGGAAAAAAAUUCAUAAGCACCUUUGGAUAAACUGCUCAAAGUCGUUGAGCUACUUACAAGGGCUCAGCAGAGGCUUCUGCAUGAACAAGAACAGUCGACAUGAGUGAGGUGUGAAACAUAAUGCAGAUAAUGCACAAGUUAUGCCCUUCAAGGCCAUGAAUAAUUGUGGCCAACCUUGGACAAGAAGUCGGUCAUCCCAAGAGUAGAAUUAAAAAAAAAAAAUGAAGUCAACUCCUGGGCUACACAGAGAAUACCUGUACACACACUCUCUUCUGAGCCUCUGUGACCGCGGGAAACCACGGGGGAGAUGAUGUGAACAGAGAGCCUCUCUACUAGCCUCUGGCAGUGGCAGGAGGAGAAUUCAUCUCUAGAAAAGGAGAAGCUUCUAUGAGACAUUGUGAAGACUGCUCCAGGACACACCAUCUCCAUUAAAAGGCACAGCCUCUAUGUGGGACAAGGACAGCAUGGAGCAGAAGAGAGGGAGCUGGUACAGAAGGGAGAGUACAGGCGAUGGGCAUUGGAGUUGUUUCCAUGUUUUGGCUCUCGUGGAUACAGCUACUAGGGGCAUUCUUAUGCAAGUCUUUUAGCGGACAUUUGUUUUUACUUCUCUUGGAUAAACACCUAGGAGUAGAAUUUCUGGGUUUCUUUUAUAAGGAAUUACCAAAUAGUUUUUCAAAAUGUUUGUACCAUUUUAAUGCCCAUCCACAACGUGUGAGAUUUCCAGUUAUUCUACAUCCUCAUGCGUACUUGGUGCUGUCAGUUUUUUAAAUUUUAGUUACCCUACAGGAUACAAUGGGAUCUGUUUGUGGUUUUAUUUUGCCUUUCUCUGAUGACUAAUAAUGUUGAACAUCUUCAUUUGCUUAAUGGUUUGUAAUCUUCUUCUGUGAAAUGCCUGUUCAAGUCUUGAGUGUUUAUAGGGUUGUCUUAUUGAUUUGUAAUUCUUUAUAUGUUCUGGAUACAAGACUUUUGUUAGUCUUUAGUUGGUUGCCUUUUCAUUUACUAAUGGCAUUUUAUAAUGAGCAAAAUUUCAAAAUUUAAAUUUUUUAUAAAGUUAAUCCAUUUACUUUUAUGUUUAGUGCUUUCUUGGUACUUUUUCUUAAAAAAUCUGCCUACUAAAGUUUGUAAAAAUAUUCUAUAUUUUCUUCUGGAAACUCUAUAGUUUCAGCUUUUACAUUUAGGUUGAAGAUUCAUCUUGAAUUUCAAUAUAUAGUGUGACAUAGGGACCAUAGUCCAAUUUUUUUAAACAUAUUUAUUCAGUUAUCCCCAGCAUCAUUUGUUGAGAAGAUAUUAUUUUCCCAUUGAAAAAGUACAUUUAUAAAAAUCUUUAGACCAUGUAAGUUUGGGUCGAUUUCUGGACUCUAUUCUGUUUCACUGAUCUGUCUAUGCCAAUACCACACUGCCUUGAUUACUGCUGUAUAUUGUCUCCUUAUAUUAAGUCUUGAAAUACAAUUGUGGAGUCCUCCAACAUUGUUCUUUACUUCCAAGAUUAUUUUGGCUAUUUUAGAUCUUUUGCAUAUUCAUUUAAAUUGUAGAACAAACCUGUCAAUUUUACAAUAAAGCCUUUUGGGAUUGUGACUGGGAAUGCAUAGGUUCUAUAGAUCAGUUUGGGGAGAAUUGGCAUUUUUAACCAUAUUGAGUCAUUUAAUUCAAUAAUAAAAUUUGUCUUUCUAUGUAUUUAGUUCUUUAACUUCUCUCAGCAAUGUUUUAUAGUUUUCAUUGUACGAGUCUUAUUCAUAGUUUGUUAAAUUUAUCCUUAAGUAUUUGAUAUACUUUGAUGCUAUUAUAUAACUUAAUGCUACUAUAAAUAAAAUUUCAAAUACUUCCAAUUUCUAAUUAUCCACAUAGUGCAUAGAAACACACAAUUGAUUUUUGUAUAUUGACCAUGUAUCCUACAAACUUAAUUUAUUUAUUAGUUCUAGUAGCUUUUGGUAAACUCGUUAGGAUUUUCUAUGUGCAUGAUUAUGUUAUAUAUGAAUAAAGACAGUUUUUUUUCUUUCA